rnacentral:rRNA from 1 species
CCCGUCACAUCACGAAAGUGGAUUGUACUAGAAGUCUGCACGCUGACCCGCAAGGGGGGCGCUGACCACGGUGAGAUUCAUGACUGGGGUG